GAUGAACGCUAGCUACAGGCUUAACACAUGCAAGUCGAGGGACCGGCCCAGGGGUGAGUAACACGUAUCCAACUGGCCCUUUACCCGGGGAUAGCCUUUCGAAAGAAAGAUUAAUACCCGAGGAAAGGGAUGGGGAUGCGUUCCAUUAGGUUGUGGGUGAGGUAAUGGCUCACCAAGCCUUCGAUGGAUAGGGGUUCUGAGGGGAAGGUCCCCCACAUUCGAACUGAGACCCGGUCCAAACUCGUACGCGAGGCAGCAUUGAGGAAUAUUGGUCAAUGGGCGUUAGCCUGAACCAGCCAAGUAGCGUGAAGGAUGAAGGCUUAUGGGUCGUAAACUUCUUUUAUAUAAGAAUAUGUAUUAUAUGAAUAAGGAUCGGCUAACUCCGUGCCAGCCGCCGCGGUAAUAC
rnacentral:rRNA from 1 species